UACGUAGGCAGCGAGCGUUGUUCGGAGUUACUGGGCGUAAAGGGUGUGUAGGCGGUUCUUUAAGUUUGGUGUGAAAUCUCCCGGCUCAACCGGGAGGGUGCGCCGAAUACUGAGGGACUUGGAGUGCGGGAGAGGAAAGUGGAAUUCCUGGUGUAGCGGUGAAAUGCGUAGAUAUCAGGAGGAACACCGGUGGUGUAGACGGCUUUCUGGACCGUAACUGACGCUGGGACACGAAAGCGUGGGUAGCAAACAGG
rnacentral:rRNA from 1 species